AACAGGGAUUGCCCUAGUAACGGCGAGUGAAGCGGCAUCAGCUCAAAUUUGAAAUCUGGCUCUUUCAGAGUCCGAGUUGUAAUUUGCAGAGGGCGCUUUGGUGUCGGCAGCGGUCCAAGUUCCUUGGAACAGGACGUCACAGAGGGUGAGAAUCCCGUACGUGGUCGCUGACCUACACCGUGUAAAGCCCCUUCGACGAGUCGAGUUGUUUGGGAAUGCAGCUCUAAAUGGGAGGUAAAUUUCUUCUAAAGCUAAAUACUGGCCAGAGACCGAUAGCGCACAAGUAGAGUGAUCGAAAGAUGAAAAGCACUUUGGAAAGAGAGUCAAACAGCACGUGAAAUUGUUGAAAGGGAAGCGCUUGCAGCCAGACUUGUUUGUAGUUGCUCAUCCGGGCUUUUGCCCGGUGCACUCUUCUGCGAACAGGCCAGCAUCAGUUUGGACGGUUGGAUAAAGGCCUCUGUCACGUACCUUCUCUCGGGAAGGCCUUAUAGGGGAGGCGUCAUGCAACCAGUCUGGACUGAGGUCCGCGCAUCUGCUAGGAUGCUGGCGUAAUGGCUGUAAGCGGCCCGUCUUGAAACACGGACCAAGGAGUCUAACAUCUAUGCGAGUGUUUGGGUGUCAAGCCCGAGCGCGCAAUGAAAGUGAACGGAGGUGGGAUCCCGCAAGGGUGCACCAUCGACCGAUCCUGAAGUCUUCGGAUGGAUUUGAGUAAGAGCAUGGCUGUUGGGACCCGAAAGAUGGUGAACUAUGCUUGAAUAGGGUGAAGCCAGAGGAAACUCUGGUGGAGGCUCGCAGCGGUUCUGACGUGCAAAUCGAUCGUCAAAUUUGGGCAUAGGGGCGAAAGACUAAUCCGAACUUUCCAGUUCGCC
rnacentral:rRNA from 1 species